CCGAUCCAGGAGAAGUUGAGGAGCACGCCGCGUGAGUGAUGAAGGCUUUCGGGUCGUAAAACUCUGUUGUUAGGGAAGAACAAGUACGAGAGUAACUGCUCGUACCUUGACGGUACCUAACCAGAAAGCCACGGCUAACUACGUGCCAGCAGCCGCGGUAAUACG
rnacentral:rRNA from 1 species